GGAGGAGAAGGAGGAGGAGGAGGAGGAGAAGGAGAAGAAGAAGGAGAAGAAGAGGAAGAAGAAGGAGGAGAAGAAGAGGAAGAAGAAGAAGAAAAGACUCAGUAGGAGGUACAGAGGCUGCAGGAAUCUGUUGUCUCAGUAUGCAGGUCAGUGUCUUGGAUUCAGAAUGAUAAAGUGCUAAGUUGCCAUGUGAUAUGCUUCCUCAUGACAGCUGAGAUCUGAUCUAGUCACUGAAGCAAAAGUGGAGCUUAACCGGUGAUGCUAAUGGAUAACAGUCAUCACAGUACCUGGUAGUCAGGUGCUCAAGAAGCCCACUAAGGUGCUUCCCAUGGGUCAGGUUCUUUGUUGUCUCUGGGGUGCAAAGAUAAGUAAGACCUGGUUCCUGUGCUUUUUGAGCUCUAAUGCAAGUAAUUGAAUGAAACUGUACAACACAGAGAACUUGCUCUGCAUAGACUGGGCAAAUUCUAGAACCUCUAGAAUCCAUCCAGGGGGAAGCCUGUCUGUGUACAGCAUUAGCUAUCACAUAACCAGGAAUUUUUGAAACUUUGUAGGGCUGUAUAUGUAACCUUCUUUAAUAAUACUCUGUACAAAAGCAAAACUCAAAAGUAGAAGAUAGGCUCAUAAAGCAACCAACUUGUUAAUCACUUGGAAAUUCUUCCAGUUUACAAGGUUAUUCUGGGUACUAGUUGCACCAAUAUCUACCCCAAGGAAAUUUCAUUCAGAAGAGCUGAAUGCAAGUUCCAGCGUUGUCACUUACAAGCUGUGUGAUAUUAGCUAAGAUCAUUUGACUUGUCUGACUCAUAUUUUUUAAUCUGUAAAGUGGAAAAGAAUAAUAUUCAGGCCACAGGUUUGUUAUCAGAAAAUGAAUACAUUAAUAUCCAUUAAAGUCCUCUUUGAAGACUUGUAAAUAUUUACUCCUGUUACUUCUCAUACUUUUAUUUCCAUUCAUUUUUGAUAAAGUUUGCAUGGUGUGAAUUUUAGAUUUUAAAUAUCUUGCUUUAUAGUUGGACCUUUAUAAAUGUUCCUUUUUUAAUUUUUUAUUGUUGGCUGUUCAAAACAUUACAUAGUUCUUGAUAUAUCAUAUUUCACACUUUGAUUCAAGUGGGUUAUGAGCUCCCAUUUUUACCCCAUAUACAGAUUGCAGAAUCACAUCAGUUACACAUCCAUUGAUUUACAUAUUGCCAUACUAGUGUCUGUUGUGUUCUGCUGCCUUUCCUAUCCUCUACUAUCCCCCUCCCCUCCCCUCCCCUCCCCUCUUCUCUCUCUGCUCCCUCUACUGACAUUCGUUUGUCCCCCUUAUAUUAUUUUUCCCCUUCCCCUCCNCCUUAGAUUAGCCCCAAGGGCUUAUAUCAUUAGCACACUUAGCUGGAAAUGUCUCAACUCUGUAUUCCCAGAGCCCUUUAGACGAAUCCUUUUUUACAAAAUCAAGAGUCCACUUCAGGGCCUUUGCCCUUGUCACUCUCUCUGCCUGGAACAUUAUUAGCCCCACAACCUGCUUGGCUUAUUUGUCCACUCUAGGGUAUGUCUUCUCAAAUGUCCCUUGUCAGACAGAUCUAACUAGACCCUUCCUGGUCACACUGUACAAAAUGGCCAUGUCAACUUCUUCAUUUUGUAUCCAUUGUCUUACCACCAAACUUAUUUAAUACUUAUGCAUUUAUUUUGUGUGUUUGUUUGCUUUUGGGUUUUGCAUUGCUAGGGUCAAACCUAGGGCCUUACAUAUGGUAGGCCAGUUCUCUUCCACUGUGCUGUAUCCUUAUUUAGGGUCUGUUUAUUGAUGGUUUCCUUGAUCCAGGUAAAAGUUCAAUAAGAACAAGAAUUUUCUUUUUUUUUCUUUUUUUUUUUUUUGCUAUUUAUCCAAAAUCUAGAGUGACACAUAGCACAUUAGAGAUGCUCAAUACACAUUUGUUAAAUGAAUGGAGAUUGAAGAGUAUGUUUCUUCAAUCACCAUAUCAACAUCGGUUAUAUAAGGAGUCUUACCUCAUUUCUAAAACAAUGAAGUUUUGGAGGGCAAGAAUAGUGCCUGAGUCAAUUUUACACCUCUCUAAGCCCUAAGAUAGUACUUGAAAUUUGUUUGGUGAUUGGAAACUUACAGGGAUUUAUUUAAAUGUCUCAUUUGUGACUUGACAACUCUUUAAAAUACAUUGAUGUUAUUACUCCUGUUUGACUUAGUUAGGGCUGCUAUAGCAAUAACAUAGAUUGGAUGGAUUAAAUAACAGGUAUUUGUUUCUCACAGUUCCAGAGGAUGAGAAAUCCAAGAUUAAGAUCAAGGUGUCAGAUAAUUCAUUCCUGAUGAGGGCCACUUCCUGGAUAGGUGAUGAAUCCCUUCUUGACACAUGCUCUGUAACAUGGAGGAGAGAGAGGGAGAGAGAGAGAGAGAGAGAGAGAGAGUGCAAGUGAGAGCAUACUCAGGUCUCUCCUCCUCCUCUCCUCAGGCACUCAUCCCCUUAUGCAGACCCCACCUUCAUGACCUCAUCUAACAACAAUAGCUUCCCAAAAGCCCUACCUCCAAACACCAUCACAGGUCAGGUAAGCUUUCAAUAUAUGAAUUUUUGAGAGAAACAAUCACUCAGUCCAUCACACCAUCACACAGAUGAUGGGGAAAAAAAAACUCAGAGAAAUUUAUUUAUUUUUUUCAAGGCCUGAAAUCCUGGAUAUGUCAACCUCAAGCCCAGAGCCUUGCACAAGUCCAUGAGUCUCUGCUAAGGACCUUUGUUCUCCCUGUGCUAAAUCCCAACUGCUGACUUGGGAUGGAGUGACCCAGCACACUGGAGCAGCACUCCCUAUGGAGGUGUGGAGGGGGUAGGACCGUCAGGUACAGGAAAGGCUCUUUGCACUGUCAAUAGGAAGGCAGACUUCUAUUUUCAUGUUUGUUUUUAAAAAGAUCUUAUUUUUAAAUGAAGCAUUGUUUUGAAAGUUUAUUUUGUACUAAAAAUUGUGUCUUCAAACUUACCUCUUCUCCUUUUAAGUUGAAGAGAGAGAGGACUUUGGAGAUAGAAAAACCCAAAUAGAACAUAUUGCUACUAGAGUGAGUGAAAUAGCAUUUUCAAACCCUGGACAAGCUGUCUCUCUUUUUUAACUCACAAGGGAGCCUAGUUCUUAGUAUGGGCAUUGAAAAUCCAUUGUGUGUCCUCCCGUGUGGGCUUUUAGUUGCAGCAGGAAAGGUCAUGGUAGGAUUCUAUUCUCCUAAAGAAGUGAAAAAUAUAGAAACCUCUGAAGACUUACAGCCUCAGUCAUUCAUUCUUUUCUCCUGAGUUAAAAAUAGAAUAGAGUCUCUCUCUCUCUCUCUCUCUCUCUCUCUCUCUCUCUCUCUCUCUCUCUCACACACACACACACACACACACACACACACACAGAGAGAGAGAGAGAGAGAGGAGACAGAGAGAGACAGAGAGAGACAGAGAGACAGAGAGAGAGGGAGUUUUUGGAAAAGUCCUAAAGGCCACACAGUUUUUUUCUGAAUUUGGUGAGUUCUUUAAUCUCCAAAUAUUUCUGUGACUUUUCAUUAAGCCCAAGGACUCCUAGAUUCUUCAUAUGAAGUCCACCCAGAUUCCAAAUGUAAUGAGAUUUGUCCACCAUGGAUCUCUGCAUCUAUUUUCAACAGCAAUGUCUUACUUAAUUUCAAGACAGAAUGUGUCACCAUAAUGUGUCAUUGCAGCAAUUUCUAAAUCUCCAUGGGUAGAAAGCUAGAUCUCAAUCCAGAGAAUGCCUGGUGUUUGGUUUCUUAAGCUGUGUUGUAGAGAGAAGGAGGAACUGCAGGCUAAUGCAAACUCUAAGCUGCAUGUCUCUCAAUGCAUGGUCAUGCUACAUCAUUUGUAGUCCCAUUUUCUAUUCUACCCUACCCUGCACCCAAACAAAACAAAUCAAAAUAAAAACACAUCUCAAAACCUUCUUUAGUUGAUGAAAAUAACAAGUACUAAAUGUGGAGCAUUCUUGCAAUUCUCAUGAUAAUCAACUUUUCCCUGGUACCCAUGGUACAUGAAAAUUUUGCACCUACCUUGAAAUGAAGAAAGUUCAGAGGAGUUUCCUCAGAAGUCCUGGUACUAAUGGUCCCAAUGAUCCUGUCAGCCUUGGCCCUCUUUCUUGGGAAUGAAUUUAUCUUUCAAAGUUGACUAGGGAAGAGGGAAAGAAAUGCUGGAUAGAAACAACUAAGAUGGUCAUUACAGCUUGUACAUCUACAGUAUGGAUUUGGACAGAGAAUGCUAAGGACCAUUUAAGCUCUAAUAUUCUCUGAUGAUCUCAUUCUGCCCAUAUAUAAUCCAGCAUUCUCCCAGAUCCAAUUGUGUUUUCUUUCUUCAAAGAAAUGCAAACUACACAGAAUAGACCACUUAAUAUGAUUAUCCUGUGAGCAAAAUAAAAUGAUUUGUUUGAGAUUCAAAAAUCAAUGUUCACAGCAAAUUAGUGCUAGAACAAAAAUUCAGUUAUUUUCUUCUCUGGGCCUCUUAUUCUGGACUAAGUCACACAGUGCAGUACACACAGAGUUAGCUGUUCAUUCUACUUCUAACUGGCCUCAGAAAUUGCCCAGGUCAUUUGAACAUUGAUGAGAAUAUAGGUAUAUUGCAUUUCCACCAAAUACGAAGAAUUUAUUUUCCUAUUCUUGGAAGAUAAAUGUUUUCAAACAUUAAAAUUCCCUAAAGCAACUUGUUACUUAAAUAUCCUGGGCUGGGGGUGUGGCUCAGUGGGAAAAUACUUGCCUAGCUCAUGUGAGGUAUUGGGUUCGAUUCUCAACACCACAUAAAAAGUUCAUAAAUAAAUAAAAUAAAGGCAUUGUGUACAUCUACAACCAAAAACAAUUUUAAAAAAUCUGGAUAAUGACAAAUGAUCCUUCUCUUUAGCAGAGAGUUACUUUCCUAGCUGUUUUGUUUGCCAAGUCUAAAUUUUCCUAAAUGGGAUUCACUUAAAGCAAAGUAAACUGUGAGUAACUAGAGACCAUUAAACUCAGGAGAGUGCAAAUAUUCCUGUCAUAUGUAUUGGGCACCCACAGCAGCAGUGCCAUGAAGGCAUCUCACUAGCAUUGAGUUUAGAGGCUAGAAAUCCUGCCAAUACAUAACAUUACUGUCCUCCAAAUACCUAUUUAUUGCACUUGUAUAUCUAUAGUUAUUUCCACAGAGCUAUUAUGAAUGAACUAAGCAAAUUUAAUAUGAAUAUUUAAAAAUUUUAUUUUUCAUUGGCAAACAAUUGUAUAGAUUUAUGCAGUUCAAUGUGAUGUUAUCCUACAACGUGGAAUAAUCAAAUUGGACUAGUCAGUGAAUCUAUCACCUCACACACUUAAUAUUAAGUUGUGGUAGGAACAUUUAAAAUCCACUUUUUUAGCAAUUUUGAAAUAUGUAGUACAUUACUAAUUAUAUUCACCACACUGUGCCAUAGAGCUUUAGAACUUAAUCAGCCUGUCCUACUGAACUUUUUUUUUCCCCACUUACCUCCCAUUCCAGCCUCAUAAAGCACCAUUCCACUCUCCACUUCUAUGAGUUGGACAUGUUUAGAUAUUCCAAGUAACUAAGGGCGUGUGGCAUUUGCCUGUCUGUGCCUGGCUAUUUUCACAUAGCAUCAUGUCCUUUAGAUGCAUUCAUGUUGUCACGAGUGACAGGAUUUCCUUCUUUUUUUAGGGUUAAAUAAUAGAACACCCCAUUGUGUAUAUAGAGCACUUUUGUUUAUGCAGUCUAUUCAUCGCUUGGUGGAUACUUAGGCUGAUUCUAUUUCUUGGCUAUUGUGAGUUGUGCAAUAGACAUGAAAAUUAUAGGUAUUUCUCUGACACAGUGAUUUCAUUUCCUUUGAAUAUAUGUCCAGAAGUAGGACUGCUGGAUCUUAUGGAAGUUCUACUUUUCACUUCUUGAGGAAACUCUGUGUUGUUUUCCACAAAGGCAGUACUAACUUAUGCACCCAACAACAAUGUGCAGAGUUCCCUUUCUGCAAAUCCUCACUAGCACAUAGCCUUCAGGUUUUAAGGCUUCAGAAUAACCAUUCUUGAAUUUAAGUAGAAAUAAAGCUAGAAAAUGGUCACUCAAUAAAAGGAUGGUUGCCAAAAAAAAGGGAUUUAGGCACAUGCUCAAAAUAUUUUCCAAAAUCAACGAAGAAGCUUUUCUCUCUUCUCCACAUUCACUCUGCAGCUCAAAGCCCUUAUUUAACUAAGCAUGGAUUGGCUGAAAUAAGCUGCUUUUAGUAACAAAAUAACAUUUGGGCGGGAUCACAUAAGAGCCAUCCUAUAAUGGCAUUAAAUCUGUUAAAAUUUUAGCCUCCAAAAUUUUUGGUGAAACACUGUGAGGAAGUUUUCCCAAUUAUACAAUCGUAGGCACAGUGGGUGGUAUAAGAUGGGCAUCAGCAGGACUUUUCACAGUAUCUGAUGUGGGGCUUUCAGAGCCAAUGCAAAACUGUGGUAAUCCCUGACAUUUCCUAAUUGCACUGCUAAGAAUUUGAACAUUUUAUACAUUUCCCUUUGUCUUUGAAGGGCUCUAGCCAUUUACUUACCCUGAGCAACUUCAAUCUCAUAUAAACCCUUGUCAUCUCUUCUUAUUCUCCCUGCUGAUAUUUAUCACUCAGUUUAUAUCCUCCUUAAGUCUACUUUUUUCCUAAUUUCAUAAAUCAUUAUGUUUUCACUUGCAUGGCUUGCUUUAAUUGUUCCUUUCCUCCAUUCCCACUGUUGGGUAUAAAUUACACUGGUUAGAGAAAAAAAAAAUGUGUGCACAGUAUUCAAUUACUAUCUAUCUACAAAAACACUGUGAAGUAUCCAGAGUUGAAUCAUACUCAGUCACAACCCUCAUGUAGUUACCAUUAAUAGGAAAGAUAAAAUAUAAAUACAUAUUAUAAGGAAAGGGAGGGGGAAAAAGUGUUCCACAUCAGUGGCAAAUUCCAAAGAAAAUGACAUUUGUGCCUCUUGGGGAUAUAGGACAAGUCUCGUGGAAGUCAUUUUUUUUUUUUGCAUUAAGCCUUAAAGUGUUAUUUUUAAAAUUUUUUUUGUGAGAAGCAAUGUAUUUUAUUUUUCUGACAUCACAGCCCCAGCAAGUGCUUUUGUACCAAAUUUAACAGCAGAUGUAAUUACAUAGAAUGUUUUCAGGAUUCAAGGAGGAAGAAAAGGAAGUAACCACAAAAUUAAAACAAAAAACAAAAAUCCUGGAUAACUUUUAGCAUCUGUUCCACUCCCACAUUAAUAGGAUUCACCUGGGAAUUUCAAAUAAAAGGCAGACAGUAAACACAAGGGGCGGGGAAGGGUAUGUGGGUGAAGAAAAAGACAAAAGGAAGAGAAAAACCUGUCUCCCCAAACCAGGAGGGCAGCUGCAUGCAGGGAAAUGGAAGCUGAGGCCCUGUACCAUUUGGCUCCCCAAAAUAACCCUGUGGAGAUCAUCACCCAGUGGAAAAGGAGAGGAGGGAAACAGGAAUGAGCAGGAUGGGGGCAAAGAAAAGGAAAUAGGCUUAGAAAAGAUGGGGAUGGAUACAGAAAUACAUCAGGAACAUGAAGAUGGGUUGGUAGCAGGAUAGAUCCAAGGUGCUGAAGUGCACUUCAGCUGAAAAAAAAUGUGGGGGGGUGGGAAGGGUGCUGGCUUCAUUAUUUUACAAAGGAAAGGUUAGUUAAGGCUGGACUUGGUGUCUUUUGUUUUUGUUUUAUUUUGUUCAUUUCAUUCAUGUUCUGCUUUUGCUUGAGAAAGCCCAGCUUGACCUCUCCUGCCAUGUAAUGCCACUGCCUUUCCAGGGGUUUGAUUGCCACAGUGUCUCCUGCAUGUGCAAAGCCCAGGUCCUGGAUCUCAGGGUUGUUUAUGGACCGGGACUUUCUCAAAAGGGAAGUAUUUCAGGAUCUGGGUGGGUUUUCUCAGGCAGAAUAAUGGAGGAUAGAUCACUUUCAGGUAUGAAAUAUCCCUCCAUACCCCAGAUCUGGGUCCAUCAACACAAAGGAAAUAAUUUUCCCUAGGACAAGGAUGGAGGCAGGGACGCUGGGCCACUGGACAUGCCAGGGCUGUAUCUGUUGACCUGAGACUGGUUGUUGAGAUAUAAGGACGUCUUCUCCUGGGACUCUUGCGCUGCCUCCACAGGGUCAUUGUGAGGAAAUGGUACCUGCUAUUAAAGAGAACCCCCAGAGAAACCUACCAGUCCUUGGAUGCCAUCAAAGGCUUCUGGAACUUGUAUCCUGUCACAAGAUUGUUAGCAACAAAUCAGACCCUGUUGGAACACAAUGAGGAAGUAGGUAUGUUGGCACCCUUGGCAUGUAAGAAGGGCAUCUAUUUACAGUGAGAAGUGGCUGGUCAUUUUCAUGGCUGGAUCAUUGGCACUGAAAUCACUGAGUUUGAAACUAAAAUUUGAGGAUUUUGUGUAAUAUUAAUGUUGAUUUCAGAAUACUAUUUAUUGAUCACAAGUUGGAUAAAGCCAGAAAAGAGUUGUCAUUCGAAUUGACCAAAAUCUUGACCAAAUCAUUAUGACUUCUUGAUACAUUUAAGACAUCACACAUAAAAUAAUCUCCAGAAAUCUUCUAUCUGGUACCACUUAUCUCCAGAGCCCAUUCUUUGUCUAACUUGUGCUCCCCAAGAUAGUGCAAGUUAGUGAAGGCAGUAGCAUCUUGGCCUUCCACUUGUCCCGCGGGAUGCAAUAGAAUCUGGGGAACAUGCAGAACUCUGAGGGCAUGCCGCCCAUUGGUGAUCAGACUGAAUCUGUGGAGACUUGGGAAGAUUCACACCUGGAGAACACACUUAAUUGCAUGCCACAGAUUUAUUCAAGGGCUCCAGAACCAGACCAUGUUCAACUGGAGGAAAUGUGCUGAUCCUAGUGGGUUUCUAGAAGAGCUAGAAUGUCAAUGUAGCUAUGACUGAGCUGAAUGUCUUUUUUUUUUGGGGGGGGGGUGUUUGAGAUUGUGUCUACCCUUGUUGCUAUCUGAACCUUGAGACAUGGGAAGGACUGACCUAGGACCCAUUCCAUAAUCCGCCCCCCCCCCGCAAUAAAUUAUUAUUUAACUUUCUGCCACUUCUAGUUAAGCACAAGACUUCAUCUCUAUCUCCUUAAAUGGUUAUUUUUUAAAUGAAAAUAAUUUAAUGUGAACAGUCUCUCAGGAAUAUUACAGUCUCAUUUCAGAAAACUUAUUUAGCCAAGCAUAAAGAUAACGAAAACUCUUUCUCUACAAAUGAGAGCUCCUAUUCUUUUCAAAAUAACUUUAUUUACUGUCACCAAAAGUAAUUAUUCAUUCCAGUGACCCACAUGUCUUCUCAUGAGAAGUUUCCAUAUCUAUACAGGGAGUAUUCAAUGAAAUCCAUAAAGAAACUUAGCAAUCCACAGACUGAUCCCUCACUGAAGACAGGAAAGAUGUUGUCUGCAGGCUUUCUAUAGUUAUCUGUAACCACGCCAGGUGCUCACUUGCAGUUUCAGUUAUGAAUGCCCAAGUCAGGGGCAUUUCUUCUCUUGCCUUAGAUGACAGACCCUAUUGUUGGAGCCAUGAGAUUCUAUUCUGCACAACAGGGAAAAGGAAUAUGGAUUUGAAAUUUGAAAGUAAGAAGACUAUUUGCCAUAAUUGGAUUUAACUUAGCCUCUCAAUGUACUGUCUUUCUCAUUCUGCUGAGAAUUUGCAGGUUCAUAUAGAUACACCCAUCUAGGCAGGCAUCCCUCCAUGCUCUGUGACAUGAUUAAUUUUCUGCCCAAUAACUAGACCAAAACAACCUAGUCCUAGGAUAUGGGUACUAAGAAGUCUGUAAAGAAACAAAAGAGAUGAGGAACCCCUGCUAGAUGAUGAAGUAGAUGUCAAGUAAUCUGCCUUCACAGAUCAGUUGUACCAGCUGCACCUCAGGAUCCAACCCCUUGAUCUUGAUAAGAUGUGUUUUGUCACAAAAAAAAAAAACAAUGAAAACUGUCUGACUUAAUUUAACAGUAAUUGAUACCUAGAUACUGCAUGCUUCUUAAAUGGAUUUUGCUGAUGAAAAGAAUGAAUAAACACUUAAGGAUUUUUAGAUAUUGAUAAUCAGUUAAUAUUUUUUGAGCAUUCAGUAUAAUUUAAAUGCUACAACAUAGGGAAUAUUAUCACUAUAUCCUUAUAAUAGAUGAGAAACAAAAGGAAUAGAAAGAAACAUAGCUAACUAGUUAGGACAAAUUUUUUAAAAAUUAAAAAAAGAAAGAAACAUGGCUAGAUGUGUUACAAUGAUUUCUAAGAUGAAUGUAACAAAUGGAAAGUGAUCAAUGAUAUUUGCACAACCAUCUUUUAUCCAUUUGUCUUUUUGCUCUUUCUUCUCUCAGAUUAUUCAUACAAAACAAUUGUGAACCUGGACAGGCUGGGCAAUAAUCUUUAGGUCUAAAAGGGAAAGCUGCUAUUAAUUAAAAGAUCAUAAACACCACAUUCCCUCUGUAAGGAUGUGUCUAUGGACCUGUGCAUGAGAGGAAGAAGUAGCUAUAAAGAGCUCUGUGCUCUUUUAAUCAUGUACUCAUAUUUUCCAGUUAUAAUAUGCAUGGGAUUCAAUACAUUAACUAAUUAACUCUCAGCAUCUUGUGAACUAGUGGUUUAAUGUAGUUUCCUUUGAAGUUCAAAAAAAAAAAUAAUAAUUGAGCUCCAAAGGGUUUCACUUAAAUCCUUGUGUCUCUACUUAUCCAAAAUGACUGUGCUAAUCAGGCAUCGAAUAAAUCUCGGGCCAAGGACUUGGGUCUUUACCUUGUAUGUUCCUGUGGGAUCUGGCAUGGUGAUGGAAACCCACUGAGAUGGGAGUAACUCUGUCUGUAAUACUGAAAAUAAAGUAAUUUAUUUAAGGCUACAACAUUCCCCAAUGGUUAUACAUUUCAACUUAAUAUCUUGUCAUACAUUCCAACUUGAUAUCUUCUAACCACAUAUUUAAGACCAUCUGAUGGAGUGGGACAUGGGAAAUUGGUCUAAACAGCUACAAAAAUGUGGGCCAGGGAACAGAUGACAGUCCAUGAAUUGUUAUCAGCCUUUGAAGCUGUAAGUAGAAAAGUUGAGAAUGAGCACAUAAAAGCUUUUAUAGAAAUUUGACAAAGUAAUUUUUAAAAAAUGUUCAUCAAAUAUAAUUAAAAGAAAUAGGAGGCUUAUACUUUGAGCUUUCUUUUCCAAUUCACUUUUUGUAACAAGUCAUCUUCUAGUAGUUUUAUUUUUCUCCUAUGUCUGGAUUAUAUUUCCUACAUCUUUGCACACCUGGUAAUUUUGUAUCGAAUUCUGGAGAUUGUGAAUUUUCAUUGUUGGAUGCAGGAUUUUGCUAUAUUCCUCUACAUAGUAGUGGGCUUUAUUCUGGCAUGGAGUAGCAUCCCUAAGGAUCCAUUGGAUCCCUUGAGGCUGCCUCCACGCUGAGGUGAUAGUAAGGAUUACCUUCUUUAAUCCCCACAUUUUUGUUCUGCUACAACAAAAAUAUCACAGAUUGGGUAAUGGAUAAUAAUAGGAAUUAGUUUCUUAUGGUUCUGGAGAGGACUUUCUUGCAGAAUUCUCACAUGACAGAGGGACUAAAGGGAAAAUAUGACAAACUCUAUGUCCUCACAAAAUAGAAGAGAUAGAAGUAAAAAAUGGCCUAGGUGAUUUCCUACAGGCCAUUUACAAAGCCACUGAUCUCAUUUAUGAGGGCCCCACCCUCGUCCUCAUGACUGAAUUACCUCCUAAAGGCUCCAUUCAUUCAUACCAUCUCACUGGGGAAUAAGUCACAACAUUCAAAUUUUGAAGAGAUAUAUAAAUUCAAACCACAGCCCCAUCUCUGAAGGGUUCACACUUCUGAAAGACAAUUUUGUGCAAUAUCUGAAAACUAUUAUUUCAUAUAUUUUCCUGGUCUCAUAAGUAUUUAAGGUAGGAAAAUGAAUUAGUCCCUUUUACUUCGUUAUGGCUAGAAGCAGACAUUCUAGAACUUUGUCUUGAAGUUCUUUCUUUUGCUAAAACUGACAUAAUUUUAUUGAAUUUCAUGCAAGUAUUAAUCCACUAUGCAAGUGGAGCUAAAAAAAAAAAAGCAAAACAACAACAAUAAACCCUAACAACUGAAUUUUAAAAGUGAGAAAAAUACUUGAAUAGAAAUUUAUCCAAAGAAGAUAUGCAAAUGGCUAAUGAACACAAGAGAAGAUGUGUUCACUAAGAAUUAGAGGUAAUUCAGUUAGAGUUAGGGAUAUGCAAGUCAAAACCACACUGAGAUAUUACCUCACAACUUUUAGCAAGGACAUGGAGAAAGUGGAACCCUUGUGUAUGAUUGGUGGGGAUGUAAAUAGGUGUCACCACUGCAGAAAACAGCAUGAUCAUUCUUCAAGAAAUGAGAGAUAGACUUAUUAUAUGAUCCAACAAUCCUACUACUGGCUAUAUACCUAAAAGAACUGAAGUCAGGGUCUUACACAGAUAUUUGUAUACACAUAUUCAUAGAAGUAUUCUCCAUAAGCCAAGUUGUGAAAACAAACCAAGUGUCUAUUGAUGGAUGAAAAAUGAGCAAUAUGUGAAUGGAAGUUUAAUCAAAUAUAUAUAUAUAUAUAUAUAUAUAUAUAUAUAUAUAUAUAUAUAUAUAUAUUUACUACAAUAUAGAACAACUUUGAGGAAAUUAUGUUAAGUGAAAUAAGCCAGUUACAAAAGGUCAAACACUGUAUGAUUCCAUUUAAGUCAAGUAUCUGGAAUAGCUAAAUUCAUAGAAAACAGAAUGGUGGUAUCAGGAACUGUAGGGAAAAAGGAAUGAGGGGUUAGUAUUUUAUGGAUGCAGACAUUCAGCUUGGGCAGAUUUUAAAAAAAAUAGUUCUGGAUAUAGACAAUUAGUGAUGAUUGCACAACAGUAUAAAUAUUCUUACUGCCACUGAACUAAAUCCCACUGAAUUUGUUAAAAGGGUCAAUUUUACAUUGUGUGUAUUUUACCACAAAAAAAUAUUUAAUACAAAACAUCAAGAUACAGGGCUCCAUGUGUAAUCCAAUGGUGGAGCUCAUGCUUAUCAAGGCCCUGGGUUUAAGUCCCAGUGCGCGCACACGUGCAUGCACACACACACACAGAAAAAAAAAAAAACACAAAACAAAAAAUCCCUCCAAACCAAAAGACUCACAAAAACACCUGGAUAUUCAUCACAGGCAGUUCGAGAAUCACUGAUCUUCAGAGGAUGAAGAUAGGAAAAGCUCUAAGGGAGGGACAGUUUGGUAUGCUUUCUACCCAGGAUUGAAGAUGACAAGCAACUGGCUUCCAGGCUACCCAGGUAUACCCAGGUACCUUAGACAUAAGUCAGGAAAGUCUCUUGUCAAACUAUAAAACAUGCCAUAGUUCCUAUUUUUGUAUUCUAUUGUUCUAUUCAAUUAGCACUAAAAUCCCUAAUAGUGGUCAGUGAACUGAGCUUCCUGCAGAGUGAGCAGAGUAGACUGUGGGGUGUGGGGAGUUGCACUGCGCCUUCUGUAGUGAGUGCAAGGGAGAGCCCAGGAAGGUGGGGAGGUGUGGGCUGCUCUGAAGAGGAAAGAAAUAAACUAAGUCCUUUAGUGUGAAGGAAGAAAAGGGACAAUAUCUUUCACAUUUAGCAUGAAAAAUGAUGAAAAAGAUAAUGCUAUCGAGUAUUAAGUACAACAUGAUCCUAUUUCUAUAUAUUAAGAAAAUGCAUACAUACUUCUAUGUAUAUGUUUAUUUUUUAAAAAAUCUCCCAGGAGGAUAUCAAUAAAAAUGUGAACAUUUGCUACAUCUGGGUGGUCAGAUUCAUGGGUGGUUUUGCUUUCUCUCUGAACAUUUCUAUGUUCUCUGCUGCUUUCACAAUGGGUGGGUAAAAAUCUUUUAUAAUAACAGGGCAAGAAAGUAAUUUUUAUCUAAAAUUAGAAAAAAAGGAGGGAGAAGAGACAUUAUGUAGCUCAGACUGAGGUACAUUUGAUUUUGAUUUUGAAGGUUUACGCAUAAAUUCAUGUAGAUUUCAUUAUUCCAUAUUCUCUUUAUAUUUUCAACACUCAAAAUCUACCCAGCAGUUUACACAUUAGAAGGUAACAACUUUUACCAUUUCAUGUCCUGGAAAUGCAUUUCAUUCACACAGGUCAGAUAAGAUUAGGAAAGGCAUUAGAGUAAUUAAGGUCACUGGACUUUGUCAUUUAACAAAUCCUUUAAUCCAACCCUAAUACCAUUCAUUAAGGCCACAAACAAAAGGGUUAAUUGCUAAAGUAUAACUCUUCUAUCCACCCAGAUACAAAUGUUAACAUGUUAAAUGCUAUUAAUGCACUGUGGCAUUGCUUUGAAUCUUUAGAAGGGUGCAGAUGUAUUCAGUACUGGAAGAAUUACAGAUUUAUUAGUUCUGAAGAGGUUAUCCCUGGGGUAACUCAUUAUCAUUGGUACAAGCACAGAAUGUUCUGUGACAGGAGAAUGUCUACCAUGAAACAAUCCAAUUAAUCAAGACAGGGCAUGCAUGUGGUGACUGUGCAAGAUGAGCAGAUGCUGUCAAUUCUGGAAUUACCACCAUGCAGCCCUGUGCCUAGCCAAUACCCCUAAGGAACAGGUUGGCCGCCCAUGCGGGAUCCUAAUCUCUUGCCACACAGCUCUGUGCUCAUUUGCCUCACUUCAGCCCUGACCCAGCUGGAAAGGACAAUCCUGUCCUCUCAUGAUUCUUCUGCAUCAAACUUUGCACUUCUUUAUGAAAGAGUCAAACAAACUAAUUGAAUCCCAGCCUUGUUUUAAUCCACCCUGCCCUUACCUAAUUCUGACAAAGGUCCUGAGGAGGAUUGAAAGUUCCUAAAGGCAACCUUGAAAGACCAGCCCUCAAAGGUGUUAUCACAAUCUCUGGAAUCCUCUGCAGCCAUUAAAUAAAUUAUGUCAUUGAAGUUUUUCUAAAACAAGGGGAAUGUGAUCGCUUCAUUCUCUCAUUGUGAAAGAAGCAGCUUACAAUGAAAUCCUAGGACUAGAUGGGAAAGUUCCAGUUUUGUGAACUAAAAAGAUGGAGAGUCUCCAUUUAUUGUUAAAGAUGAGGAGGAUUAAAAGCCCUAAUGUUAACAUUUAAUGGAGAAAGGAAAAGUUUGCUUUUUUUUGUUUUUGUUUUCUUUUAUGUAAUUUCCAUAUGCUCUCCCAAAUCUUUCCAAAUUUUCUACAGUAGAAAUAGAUUUCUCCUAAAAACUAAGACUCACAGUAAAUGUUAUUUUUAGGUUUUCUAUCAAAAUUGAUGAUACAGUAGCUUCUAUCUCCUGAUUCCAAUUCAGUGACAACAGAUAUUUCCCAAUAAAUCUUCUGCAUCUUGAAAUUCGACUUAACACCAUUCAUUUUCUCAAACUAGAACCUUACUUUAUCCAUCCAAAGAAAACUCUUUAUCAAAAGAAACAAUUUCAGAAACAAAGACAGAAUCAGAAAAUUCUUACCCAAAAGGGAGAAAAGACAGUGUCUAAUCAGCUCUGCUUUUUCUCAAAGCUCUACAGGAAGAUUUAAUAAGAGACUGCCUUGGGCCAAGGGGUCACUUCCUUUGGGACAGCUUUCCCUCUCUUUGCCCUGACACCAGGAAGGAAAAAAAUAACAAUUGGCAUUCAUACUGUGUUCAGAGCUUUAAAAGCACUUUCACACAUAAUAAGAAGGAUGCAAAGAGAAGCUGUGCAGAGCAGUCUGAUGCCCUGCUGACAAAUGCAUCCCCUUUGCCACAUCUCAAGUGGCAGCAAAGGAAGCCACAGAGGCACAGGGUAAGAGAACUAAUCAUGUCUUGGAGCUCGGUAUGCCAUGCACUGUCCUAAACACUUGGCAUGUUGUGGCAUGCUAUCCUUAUGAAAACACUGAAUGGCAAGUGUCAUUGUCUGUAUCAGGGGUCAGCAAAUUAUAGCCCAUGGGCCAGAUCUAGCCUGUGGCUUUUUUCAUGAAUAGCUUUAUUGGCACACAGCCGCACAUGUUUGAUUAUAUAUUGCCUAUGGCUGCUUUUGUGCUACAAAACUGAAUUGUUGCAACAGAGACCUUUUUCCCCUCUUGCAAAACUGAAAAUCUUUGCCUUUUGUCCUUUUGCAGAAAACACUUGCUAGCCCAAAUCAAACUUACAGGGUAGUAUUUUAACUUUCACCAAAGUAUAGUGUGUAACUGGAGGAGCAUAUUGCAAACAGAAAGAUGGAACUGGAGUAACUGUGCUGUUUUUUUUAAAGGGACACUUACAAGACAUGAUAGCUUUUAGAAUACUUAAGCUAUGUAAAGAACACUGCACUGCAGCAAAAAUUAUGAAACAAACCCUUGAAAUAAACACAACUACUGAAAUUUUACCUGAAAGAUGGGCAUUAGAUUCCAAUGUAUGGCUUUCAUAUUAAAACAGAUCCUAAAAGAUUUGAUGUAUUCCUUUAGCAUAAUUAGGUUUUGACAGCUGUAUGAACUCUCUUGCUCCUUCCCAGGAUAUGCAGAAAGGGAUGGGGGGAAAGUUUGCCUUUCAGAAAAGUCUGAUCACUCCUCCUUUUUCAGGGUUUUUUUUCUUUUAAUGUCAGUUUCUCUUUCAAGCCUUUUUGCUUAAUUCCAUAGCUGAAAUGAGACAUUUUGUAUAGGCUUUUAUGAGUAUCUGAUGGAAGAAAUUUCCUUGAAAGAAAUUGCCAAUGCUCAUCGGCAAGCAUCCAGGGUUGGACAGGUUUCACUAGCACUCACUAAAUCCCCCACAUGCCCUGGAAACAUCAAGACACAAGGCUUUAGGAGUUGAGGCUGGAGAAGUGGAGUAGUUGGCUCAAUCCACACCCCAGGCAGCAAAUGUAGAAAAAGUAGCAUGUCCUCAUGACCUCGGUCUUUCCAAGUCAGAAUCAGGGUGUAGUGUCAGUCUGAAGACUAGUUGAGGGAGCAUAAAUGGAAGACCACUACCUUAUGUUUAUUCUCGAGACAAGUUAGAAUUCAGGUUUUCAAAAGUAAAACUCCCUGCCUCUUCAUCACUCAGUGAUGCUGGAUGGCCAUCCUCCAGGCAAAGGUAGGAAGUAGAAACAAACUCCUUCACCCCCCAAAUGCAAUUUUGGAGCAUGAAGAACUCUCCAACAUUUGGGCAAUGAACAUGUUGUCCUUACUUGCUCAUUUUUAUCCACUAUUUUCCCUCCAGGAAUUAAAAAAAAGAUAUAAUUGUAAGCUAUCUGAAAAAGUUGGCAGAAAUGUUUAUUGUUUAGUCGGGAUGACAGUGAAAAUACUGGCCAGAGUGUACACUGAAGAUUUCUUUUUCCUACACAUUCUAUUUGUCCAUUAGAAAGAAGAAUUGUGUUAGCUUUGAUAUCCUCUAAAGGCCCCCAAAGGACUGCCUUCAACCUCAGCUCAUUGAGCCCUGGUCCAGCUCUGGGUUCUAGCAGGACACACUCUAAUCUGUCAGGUCACAAUGUACAUUUCAGGGUCGGGAUAACCCUCAGCAUGGGGAAGCUUCUGCCAAGUCAGCCUUGAUACCUCCUGGCAGGAUGUUCCUCCUUCUACAAAAAACAGUAGGCUAUUAAUUCCAACUUUUCUCAUUCCCUUUGUACCUCUGCACAGUACACUGGGUGGCUUGUGGCUUCAAAGGGGAAUGUUCCAUAAUGUUCCAGCAGCCUACUACAUUCUCACCAAGUCCCUGUGGCUGCUCUCAAUUUGUUCUCCCUGCCUACAUUCCAUAUGUCACAUGGUAAACUCAUUAUCAAGGUGCCAGUGAACCACUACCACCUGUGACUUCUGUUGUGACUCUCACAACCAGAGUGUUUUAAUUUCUCCCCUCCUGGUGGCCUACAAUUUUCACAUAGGACUCAUGACAUCACAUGGAGCCACCUGAUUAUCAUCUGUACAUUCAUCGCUGUACUUACUUUGCAGUCACAGUGCUCAUUUCAGCACUUGUCGAAAAGGAAGAUUCAGGAGGUCUUUACGAUUAACUGAAACAUGGAAUUAUGGGUUCCUUUAGGAAAAUAAGUAUUAAUUAAAAUUAUUUAAAUUAUGUUAUGUUUUACAUAUGAGGUAUCCCCUAAAAUUUUCCUGUUUGAAACAAUGCAAGAAGGCUCAUGGGUGCAAUUAUUAUAUGAUGAGAGUUGUAAUCCAAUCAGUGGGUUAAUCCCCUAAUAGGGAUUAACUGGGUGGUAACUAUAGGCAGGUAAGGUUUGGUUGGAGGAGGUUGGUCACUGGAGAUGUGCCUUUGGGGAUUAUAUUUUGUCCCUGAGGAAGAGAAUUUCUCUCUCUCUCUCUCUUUCCUUCCUGAUGCAUUGUCUGAGUUGCUUUCCUCCACCACACCCUUCCACCAUGAUAUUCUGCUUGGUGAAGCUUCUGCCAAGUCAGCCUUGAUUCUUCCUGGCAGGAUAUUCUUCCUUCUACAAAAACCAGUAGGCUAUUAAUACCAACUUUUCUCAUUCCCAUUGGCCUUGAUCAAUAAAUAGAGUUGGCUGGCCUUGAUCAAUAAAUACAGUUGGCUGUCUAUGGACUAAGAACUCUGAAACCAAGAGCCCCAAAUAAAUUAUUUCUAAAUAAAUAAAUAAAUAAAUCUGACUAAAACAAAUUACAUUCAGUAGAACUAAAUAUUUUUUUCCAAAUUUUUUUAGUUGUAGAUGGACACAAUACCUUUAUUUUAUUUAUUUAUUUUUAUGUGGUGCUGAGGAUCGAACCCAGUGCCUCAUACAUGUGAGGCAAUUGCUCUGCCACCAAGCUACAAUCCUAGCUCAGUAAAAUUAAAUAUUAAUUUAAAUAUCUAAAGAAUCAGAAAACAUCUCAUGUAUCCACAUUUAUUACAAGAAAGAAAAAAACUUAAGCACAAAAAGAAAAUAACGACAGGUGAGUGAGAUAAGGCUUUGCUAAAGAUGUGUGUAGCAGUUCACAUCUCAUUUUAUAGGUGGAGUGGAUGGGACACAGAGCCCUUCACAAGUCACAGCUGGCAUAAAAAAAAAAAAAACAUAGAUAGGGGGUUAUCAACAAUAGGGUGAAUAUCAAAUUUUUCGUCCAGAGAGACCAAGAGUGGGAAGACAGCAGGAGCCAAAGGGCAGAACUAAAGGGCAGUUCAGAGACACCAAGUCCAAGGAGAUGGAUUUGUGCUUCUCCAGCGUCAUGCCUAGUUCAAGAUUAAAGCUGUUUGAUUUCUAUAGCAGGUGGAUACAAAAAAGCUGAAUUCACAGAAGUUUCUAUCAAAGACUUUUUUUCCUAAAGGUUUAGCUUCCCAUACACAACACAAAUAUUUCAUUGAUACAAUAUAACACAGACAACACAUACUUUAUAAAGAAUUUCUUGUACAACCUAUAUAAAAUAAUUCAGCAUCAUCUUCUAAAGUUAUGCCUAUUUUUACUCUAUGACCUAGAAAUUCCACUAUUAGAGAAAAAAUUCUCACACGGCUAUAACAAAAGUCUUAUACAAGAAAGUUCCCAGCUAUUUUGUUUGCAAAAGAGAAAAACAUAGAACUUUUCUACUAACUGGAGAAUGAAAAGCCAAUUUCUGAUUAUUCAUAUAAUUAAUAUGUGGUAGUAAAAGUGAAUUAUAGUUAUAGACAACAGUUUGGGGAAAUCUGAGUAAGAAAAUUUAAAAAAGAAUAAGCAAAUCCAGAAGACAAUGCUUAGAAGGAUUAAUUUUUUUCUUAUUCUCCCAAAUCAGCACAGAUAAUCAGUACAUAUGUACACAUGUGAUAAAAUUAUUGAAUAAAAACCAAGAGAAUCAAACAGUGGGAAGUGCAGAAAGAUUCCUCUGGGGAGCACAGAUGUAGUUUGACAGUUGAGAUAGGACCACAGGGAUGCAUUUUUUGUUAUUUGUCUAAUACUGGUAUAUGCAUUUUUCUUUAUGGAUAACAAAUUACAUGCCAUUACAUUAACAUUUCAUUACUAGAGGUCAUUUCAUUUUGAAAGAGUUUUACUUCCAGAAGCCUUGCUAACCAUUGUGUCACUGUAGGAUGAAGAGAUGAAGAUUCACAUGGAGUCUAACUUCUUCUGAGUGAAACAGGUUUUCAAUUUUUCAUCUGUAAUUUAGAGAUGGGAAAACCAAGGCACAGAGGGGCCAGUCAUCUUGCUUUAAGUUACCAACAGACAAAUGCCCCUUUUUAUUCCUUCAUUGUCUAGUCAGUAGCAAUCACUUAUUCUGUUUUUUUACUUGAGGGGGAAAAAAGUCAGGAUAAACUUUUUACUACUUAAACCAUAUUUCAAAUGGGCUCAGAUUUAGACUUUUGUAAUAAGUAAUUUUUCUCCUUGGGAAGAAUCUCUUAUCAUUUCCAUAAGGAACCAAGCAGAACAAAAGACAGUGUCUAUCGAGGUUCUGAAAAUAUUUGAGAGACUGUUUUCAACCAGAAUAUCUUUUAUUCUCCCCAAGUGACAUACAGAAAACCAAAGCUCCAAUGAUAUCCUAUGGAUGAAAACUUUAAGGACAAACAUGUCAAAGGAAAAUUUUAAGUUCCAACUUGUCAUAUUUUAACAAGUGAAAAAAGGCCUAAUUGACUGAUAUUGGCUUUGAAAUUAAUAAUUUUGCUAACCUGCACACACUUAUUUACCCUCUGCAUAUUUUCUUUAUUAAAAUACCUUUUUGGAUCUCUUUUCCAUUGUUUAACUGGGUUGUUUAUUUUUAUUUUUUUUACUACUGAGUUUGGUGUGUUCUUUAAAUAUUCUGCUUAGAAGUCUUUCAUCAGAUAUAUGAGUUGAACAUAUUUUCUCCCAAUCUGUGACCACUUUUUCAAUCUUUCAAAAAGAAAAAUGGCAUUUUUCAAAAUCAUGAGUUUUCAAUUUAAUGAAGUCCAUCUUACCAAUUUAUUCUUUUGUGGGUUAUGUUUUGGGGUCGUGACUAAAAAUUCUUUGUCUAAGUCAAAGUCACAAAGGUUUUCUGUUUUGUUUUCUUUUGGAUUUAUAGUUUGGGGUUUUCUAUUUAUGUGUUUGAUCCAUGUUGAUUUGAAGUGUGUAUGUGGUGUAAGCUGUGGAUUGAAGUUUACCUGGUUUUGCAUAUGAAUAUCCAAUUGUUGAAAAGACAAAUGCCAUUUGUUGAAAACUGAUUUUUUUACAUUAAAUUGUCAUUAUACUUUGUCAAAAAUCAUUUGUCCAUAUAUGUGUGGGUCUAUUUCUAGACUCUUCUGUUUCAUUGAUUUACUUGUCAGUCUUUAUACCAAUGCCACCAGGCCUUGAUUACUGUAGCUAAAGUGAUAUAAUAUCUUAAAAUCAGGUCAUAUUAGUCCCCCAGCUUUGUUCUUUCUAUCAGAAUGGUUUUAUCUAUUACAUCCUUCAAAUUUAGAUAGGACUUUUAGAAUCAGCUUGCUAAUUGCUGAGGUUUUGAUUGAUAUUGAAUUGAAUCUCUAGAUUGAUUGGGAAAGAACUAAUUUUUUUUUUACAAAAUUAAAUAUUGUCAUGACUAUGGUGUAUUUCUCCAUUUACUUAGUUGUUCUCUAGUUUCCCUCAGUGUGCAGAGAUUUCUCAUAUUUUGUCUGAUUUAUCUCUAAGUAUUUCAUAUUUUUGAUGCUUUUUAAAAUGAAAACAUUUUCCAAGUUCUGAUGCUUCCUUUCUAGUAGAUAAACUCACUUGUUUAUUCCAGUAGAUUGUGUGUAUGUGUAUGUAUUGUGUUAGAUUUCCUACAUUGUUGAUUAUGUCAUCUAUGAAUAAGGAAAGUUCUAUGUCUUCCUUUUCUACCUGGGUGCCUUUCAUAUUCAUUCACUCAUCCAUUCAUUGUUGGUCUUGUUACCCUGUCCAGUACUUCUAGCACAAUACUGAAUAGAAAUGGCAAGAGCAGAUAUACUUGAUAUUUUGUUUUUGUUUAAAUUCUUAAAGAUCAUUUUUAAAGUACCAUUUCCUUUCUUUACCUCCUCCUCAUAUUUGAAGCCCCUACACAUGCUGUGUUGAGUCUAUCAAGAGGCAGGGUAGUUACUACCCUUCGACCAGCCUUUAGUGUUAUGAAGGUUGAUGCCCCAGAGAUGUGGGACAUAUGCUCCCAUCUUCAAGAAGGAAACUUUGCUGUAACACAUUAGACAAGGCAAACCUACUCUCCACACAGGUUAUAGGAAAAUGUGAUCAAUAGUCUGGUCAAUAGUGAAUACCACUGAAGACUUUAAAUCAGGGCAAGAGGAAUAAUGACUAUGUUAUUUAUGGUCCUUUCCCACACAGUGCUGAUGGCAAGAGGCUGCUGUGCCUUUUUUUUCUGGUGAUAGCAGCUGUGUGCAUUUGAUUCAAAACAUCAGGAUCCAAGGAGAUGCCUUCCUGUCCCACUGUUAUGUAUAAAUGUCCUUCUCCUGUAAACUAUGUCUCUGGAGGGCAGAUGUAGGCUCCACAGAGUUGCCCAGGGGAGAUACAAUGGCAUUGGUUUAUUUCUUUUUCACUGUACACUUAUUUAAAAAUAAGUGUUCACUUCAAAAUCCAAUUUCUUACUCACUGUUUGCUUAUCCACCAAAACAACAUUUUUUUUACAUUGUUAUUAAGACAUUUGGACCAAAGAAAGUGAUAAAACUCAGAACAAAGUUUACAGUGAUAUAAGAAAUGAGGAAAUAUAAUCCCAGUUUAAAAACCAAAGUGUUCUUUUGAAAUAUUUUUGGGAGAUGGGGGGUAGGAUACCAAUAUUCUUCUUUAGUGCUUUCAUACUUUAAAGGGAUAGAUUGGGCUCUAUAAUUUAACUGCCAAAUCCAACAUUCAUAUCCAUCUGGACAUUUUUAAAAGGAUCCUUGAGCCAGUCAGAAUUGGCAGUUGGUUGUAUAAUCACACCUGCAUAUGGUGCAAGCUUUUUUUUUAAUGGGCAACAGUUAGAGCAUGAAAGUAUUGCAUGGUGUGCCUUCCUUGCGAAUCCACACUUUAACAUGUUUGCACGUGUAAGUAAUUAUAUUUUUGAGCUUUCUGUUAACAAGCCUUUGUUCUUUAUUUCCUGCAAAUCAAAUUAGUUGGGGCUACAGUUCAUUUUGAAAUUAUUUGGGAAAUGUUUUGGUGUUCUAAACUUCCCUUUGCUCCAAAGUUUUGCAAAGUUAAAGGAAAACCACAAACCUGCACAACCAGUGAAGGAUGUGGGGAUAUAUAUAUAUAUAUAUAUAUAUAUAUAUAUAUAAAUUUUUCUAAUAUAUAUUUAUAUUCAACAAAUUAAAUAUGAUAAACCCCUAAGCCAUAAGAGAAUGGAAAUCAAUCUUGUGUUUCUAAGUGCAUGUCAACCUGCAUGAGGCAUUUAGCUAUGAUUCACUGUAUAAGAAGAUAGUCUUUAAUGCUUAUAUAUCCAGAGAAAAUCUUGGCUUCAAGAAGAUUGCAUUUCUCUCAGUCCAAUUUAGGCUGCCAAGUCCCUUCUUAUUCUUCCCUCCUCAGUGCAAGUCUGACUGUACGCUACCCCAGCUCCAACCAGGAGUAGAGCAGCUACACAAAUCAAGCUGCUCUUUGAGAUCAUCUUUGAGACAAUUUUCAAGGAAGCAAAGGUGAUCAGAAGGGGAGUCUUUGUACUUGGGAAAUCCCAAGUGAGAAACCGUCUUCAACCCCCUACUCUACCUACUUUGCUUAUAUAUGGAGCUCAGCUUGGAAAAGGCAAUGAGAUAAUCUUUGAAAAGCCCUCCGGUAGACUUGUUGAAGGUGGCUACUCUACUUCUUUAAAAUAGUAGUAUUGUGUGAAGAUCCUAUAUAAUAUGGCCAUGAGGACCUAUAAAGAAGAUUCUACCUAAGCAGCCUUUGUGGAAUGCUUUAGUAACUUCCAACCUGACAUGAAAGGGGACAUUCAAAAACAAAUGAAAGGAAAAAAAAGUUGUAUUUAAAAUGUGGGUAGGGUGCCUGUAGGUAACUUCUAUUUCACAUGUGUAAGAAAUCUGUAACUAUUGAAUCUUGCUGGGCCUCUCCUCUUUCUCAGUUUCACAAUAGCCGUCUGCUCUUCCCUCGUUUAUUUCUCUUUAUCUGCUCCCUUGCUGCCAAUCAGAGGCUGACACCAAAAGCCAUUGUUACCCUUUGUAUUUAAAAAAUACUCCUGAAAUAUCAGAAACCUGUAAUGUAAAAGAAUUUUGCUAUCAAGAUGGGUCAUUUGAAAAUAAAAUCAUAUUUUCUAAAAUAUUUAUUUGUUCUUUUUAGGUAUACAUAACAAUAGAAUAUAUUUUGACAUAUGUAUGUGGAGUAUAACUUGGUGUUCUUGUAGUUGUACAUGAUGUGGAUUUACACUGGUUGUGUGUAUAUAUAUAUAGAUAUAUGAAUACAAUUAUAUCUUUCACUAAUAUUUUUCUUCUUUGGUGGAUAUGAAGUUGAUAUGUAAAACUCUAGGAUAAAUCUCAUGGUUGGUUUUGACCUCCAAAAUGAGUAGAAAACAAAAUUCUAUGUUUUUUCUUAGCAAGGCAAUAAAGGAAUCAUUCUUGCAUUUCCACAUGGGAAGGGCUUUUAGGACUUGGACAGGAUGAAUGCCAUACACAGCAGGUUAUAACCAUCACAAUAUAGCUCAAGUACUCAAGCCUGGAGGGACUCAUACUGAUGGAAAUGGUGGGUAUAGAUUCAGAAAAAGAGCUGUUCUUAGCUAGAAUCAUAAGUUGAGUGGAAUAGUAGUUUUCUUAUGACUAAAUUUUUGUUUCUGAUGAUAAGAAUCCAAAUCUUAAAUGAAAGAAAAGUGUUCAUACUAUGCCAAACAAAGUGCAAUUCAGCCACUUCAUGAGCAAUCAUUGAUUGACAGGGACACAAAUUUAUAUCUUAAAUUGAUGGAGCAAAUAAAAGUUCAGUAGUAUAUACCAUUUUAUAUACAUUAUAUAUUCAGUAGUUGAAUUAGAAACAGUUGAAUGUUUGCAAAAUGGUUAGAAAGGCUGUAGGCAGACUCUUCAUGGAAACUUUGAAUAACACAGCAGUGAUGCCUUUAAAGAAAGCUUUUAUCCCUAGUAGAAAAUCUUAAGGUGCCCAGGAAAUCAGGCAGCUUCUGCCCAAUGGAGGCUCUGGUUCUACUGCAGCUGACUCCAAUGGGCAGCCAGUGCCGCACCAGUGACACAAAGCAUGACUUCUCAAAAUUCUUGUACAUGUGAAUAACCUGGGUAUUUUGUAAAAUGCAGAAUUUGAUUCAGUUGGUCUGAGAGAGAUAGAAAGAGUCUGCAUUUCUGUAAAGUUCUCAGGUGAUGCUGAUGCCAAUGCUAACUACACAGGUGAGCAAUGAGAUUAAUGAGAUCAGUAGUUCUCAAACUUCUGUGUUCAUCAGAGUCAUCUAGAGAGUUUGUUUAAACAUGGGUUGCUAAGUUCCACCCCAUACAUUUGAUUCAGGAGUUGUGGGGUGAAUCCUGAGCUUUUAAUUUCUCACAAGUUCUUAGGUGAUACUGAAGCUGCUGUUCUGGAAACCACAGCACCACUGAUGCAAAGCAUGUUGCAAAGUGCUGGAAUGGAGUCAAGUGAGCCAAUUGCUAUUUCUACAACAGGUGGCAACCAUGUGGUGUUACUAAUGAAUUCAAAGAAACUUGGAUCCAACAAAUUGGGGGAGACUCAGAGGAGAAAGUGAAAUGCAAUUACUUACACCAAACCCAGUUACAUUUAUUCAUCUUCCUUCCAUCCAUAAAUUACUGCUGCAUUAGCCAAAGACACUUUGGGGACAUAUAGGUGGAUAACAGAACUAAGGAGAAGAAAGCAUUAAUCAUCUAUAUCCCAGUAAAUAGACAUGUGUUUACAUUCACGAUUCUUGAAAACCAGGUCAAAGUACCUUAAUGAUAGCUGAGUGGCAGAGGUGAACCAUCUAUGCUCAUGUAGUUCCCAUGGGAACUGAUACCCAGCUUACUGAUAAUUCAUUAGGCACCCCUCAGAUGGUGGGUAUUUGUAUCUUCACUACUCUGGGUAGGGGCUGAAUGCAUCAUCAGCCAACAGCUUUUAACUUGUCUUUUUCUUUUUAAAUCAUGAAACAGGAAAACAAAGUUUGUGUUAUAUUAGGCAAUAAUCAUCUUCAAAUGAUGUGUUCCAUUUUAAAUUACUAUAUCAGAUACGGUAGUACUCAAAAUCGUGAUUUGAGAUCAUUAUUUACACUUCAAUAGGAUACCUACUCUCUUCCCAUUUCUGCCUUUUCUUCAUUACAUUUACAGGGUACUGGACCCCCAAGAUGGAGAUCUAAUCAUCCACCUAUGAUUACUGCAGAAGCCAAAUAAACCUGAGCAUGCUGUCAUGAUUUGAGGCUCCAUGAGAAAAUGAAAUAGAUUAGUACCUGGAUUAACCAAUUUCAGUUCAAGUUCACCCCCAAUAACAGGCAAUGGAAGAACUCCAUAUGGGAAGAAAAUUUAAGCAGAGAUUUCUGAUUCUUUUCUUGUCUUUCAACUCAAAAUAAUUACAAUGUCUUUCCCUAAUUUAUUCUAUUGAUUCAAAGAAUUUUCUCUAACAUUAGCAGAGAGUUUAUUAAAACUAUUGAGUGUAUGGUAUACUCUUGGGCCUUGGGAAUGCAAAAAUGUUUAUGGGAGUAGCUGUUUUUACUUACAACACACUGACACCAAAUUAGAUGGUGUUUUUUCUUUUCUUUUUCUCUCACAGCAACUAAUUAUCUCAAACUGUGGACAUCAGCUGGGUGGUUUUUUCAAUUAUUCAAUUCAACACUGAUUAUUUGAAGUUAGUGCAGACCCCACAAGUUACAGACUCGGUUCCACAAGACUGCCCGUAUGCCUCAGAUGCCAAUCACAAGUCACAGGCCUCUGAUACUCUAAUUGAAUAACUACAAAUCAGUAGUUUCCAUGACCCCCUUUGCAGGUUCAAUAAUUUGCUAGAAAGGCUCACAGACCUCAGAAAUAUAAUUUAGUUAUACUUGCCAGUUUAUUUAAAAGAAUGUAGCACAGUGACAGCUAAAUAAAGUGAUGAAUUAGGCAAAGUAUGUGGAUGGGGUAAAGAUGGUGCCCUCUUGGUGCCUACCAUGGUCCAGCACAUUGAGAUGUUCUUUAGCCUGAAAGUUCCCCAAUCUCCAAAUUUAGAUGGGUUUAGGGGGAGGUCUUUCUUAUGUAGGCAUGAUUGAUUGAAUCAUUGGUGGCUGGUGAUUAACUCGCUCUUCAGCCACUCACCUUCCUGGAGGUUGGGAAUGGAACACCAAGUUACAGCCCAUUAAUCAUUACUUGGUCUUUCUGGUGACCAGCCCUCACUCUAAAACUAUCUAGAGGUCUACAAAAAGUCACUUCAGUAGAAAAAAAGAUAAUCCUAUCACCCUUAUCACUCAGGAAAUUCCAAGGGUUUUAGGGGUUCAUGUCCAGGAACUGAGACAAAGUCUAAAUAUCUUUCCAUAAUACCAUUGAUUGCAGGUCUAGCAGUUCCUGCAACCAAGUUUUAGAGGUAAGAUAUGGACAUACUAAUGCAAUUAAAAAAUAUAGUGAUGUGUUAUCUUUGAAUAGAAUAGCUCUACAUCAUUAUAGGCAUUCAGAAAAGAAGUAAUCAGCCACCAAGAGUUAGAAUAGAUUGGGUCAAGCCAACCUCAAGGUGGAUGUGGAGAUUAUUGCCCUCACUUUGUGCCAGGUUUUAUACAGAGUCAAAGAAAGCUUAUUUCUGAUCUGAGGCAGAGAGGAGAAAAGGAUGGACUAAAAUCAGGAGUUAAAUCAGAUGCCCAGAUUUCAACCUACCCAUUCCCAAUCUGUCUCACCUUGGUGGGAGGUGGACCCAAUGGGGUGGAGGACUUUAGAAACAUUAGUGGAGCAACAUUGGGUCUUAUCCUUCUAAUUAAAGAGUAGAUUAUCACCCGUUAGAGAAAUGCUGACCUCAAAGAGACAGUGUUAGAGAAAGCAGCGGGAGAGAGGUGAUGUGAGAGCAUUUCCACUGGCUACACCUCACAUGGAUGUGAGAGAGCUCCAAAAGGGCCUGUGUGGUCUUUAAGGGGACAUGAAGGCUCUGAGAGAGCAGUGUGAUGGCACAGACUCGGGGAGUGGCAGAUCCAAGGAUCACACCCAAUGUUCAGUGAGGUAAGAUGAUCUCAAGUUCAGAGAAAAAAUAAGUGUGUUCUAUGAUUCUAAGAGAAAAGACAUGGUUGGGUAUGUGGACAAGGACUUCAUCCAUGUGAAGGUCAAAGCUGAAGCUGUGCUAAUGAAUGAAAAGCCCCGAGUGCAGUGUCAAAUGAGCCAGUCAUGCAGGCAGGGAGUGCAGCUGUCAAAGACAGGAAGGUGACCACAGGUAACCUAAAUCUCAUCAUUUUGCUAUGGAAUACAGAGACUCACAGGCAACUUUGUGACUUGUAAAGAUUUCAUUCAAAGAGAGUUUUACUUAUGCCCAAAGCCUAUUGCCAAUUCACUAUUCACACAUCAGAUGCCGGGAGUUGUUAUCAACACCAUGUGGCAAGAAAACUUGGUUAAAAAAAAAAAAAAGUUUUGAAUUUUAUCAGUGUAUCAUCGGAUAGUGGAUUUGUAUUUUUAUUCUUUUUGUGUGUGUGUGGUGCUGGGGAGUUAAUGAAUUUAAAAAAAAAGGGGGGGGGAGAUGGCAGAGCAGUAUUAGAAAUAGGUGAAUAGAUACAUAGCAAUCAAAGAAGAAGAGCACUUUAUGAAAAAAUGAUUUUUCAAUAGUCUUAAAGGUCUGCUGAGGCCUUAAAGGAACCAAAAAAAAAAAAACAAAACAAACUAGAGUGUUCUAGAAAGAUACUUCUGCUCAUAUGACAAACUUUACAGUAAAGAAGAAAGAGGAUGCGUUUCAAAGGGUUUAGAGAGGGUUUUUUGAGUCAUCAUUAAUUUAAUAUUUUGGUGGUUCCUAUUAAGUUAGGAAACCCUGGUUCAUAUGUAUGAAUAAACAGGAAAUAAAGGAUUAUAAGAGGAAUGAUAAAGAAUGCAUGAAAAAUAGGGGAUGCUGAAGUCAGGCCUGCUCUGAAGGCAGAAAGCAGGGUUCAGGGAGGUGGGUAACAAAUGAAGGGGAUCUCCUUUCUUAAAACAGUUAAAGGGAAGGAGAGCUGGAUGUGAGUCUAGCUAAUGAACCAGGGGCAAGGAGGCUGGCAUUGUCUACAGCAUGGUUUCUUAACUUAGCACUGUUAACAUGCUGGGCUAGACAAUUCAUCAUUGAGGCCUAUCCUGUGCAGAGUGGUCAGCAGCAUGCUUGAUCUCUACCAUCUUAAUGGCAGUAGCAAGCCUCUAGUUGCAACAAGAAGCAUCUCCCUCUCUCUUCAGUGGUCUCUCUCAGGAGCGGUCACAGAGCCUGGUUAGAGCAAUGCACCCCUUCCUCAUAAAGACAGACAUGCCUCCUGCAAAGUUCUUGACACUAGUGCAUCAGCCAUGGUGGCUGAGAUUUAUAGUUGAUACAUCUCUGCUUUUCUAAAAUUAUCUAAUCUAUUUCUUAAGUUCAAAAGUUUUGUGGAAUGUUUACAGUAAAUUAUUUCAGCUUCUGACACUUAAAAGAGCACAUGAAAGGACUGGAGGCAGAUGCUUAAUGCCAAAAAAUGCAUUCUCAGAACCUCUUUGAGACCUCAAGGCCACCUGGCCCUGCAGUGGGAUGGGGAGUGUGGAUGCCAGGGUCAGACAGUCAUCUCUGGGAAAGUGUGGUUAUUCUUCAUGUUCUCAGAGUGUGCAGGUUGUAUGCUUAGUGACACAAGACACCAUGUGGCAAAGAGCUAUUGCUUAGACUCUAUCUUUGGUUCUAAGUCCCUCUCAGUCUCUAUUCCUAGCAGCCACAAAGUGAUUGGUAGCAAUGUCUACAGGACACUCAUUUCUUCACAUAUUAGGCAUCUCUAGGAGCAAAGCUACAACCUAUUUCCCCAACACAGUAAUACACAGAAUAGGAUUAAGAACCUUUCCUUCACCCUGGAUGAAGGUGUACACGCAGUGGUUUACCUAGACAUAUUACCAUACAGAGAUUAUCAAGUACAAGAUGGAGCCCAAGUACAGAGAGGUUGAGAAAGUUGAAACUUAUCUCUUCUGGUUAGUCUGAUCAAGGGACAUUUUUUUCUGUCUGCCUUUAUAGAGGAAAAUAUUUCCAAGAAAAGGAAGCAGAGUUCUGAGAACAAUGCCUCCCUCCUUCCACGAACCCCAUCCAACCUGCUUGUCAGGAGGAGGGCUUGCCUUUCCAGAAUCUUCAUUGCAUUAUUCCUUUCACAACUUGAAAUUCAUCUCCUCUCCUGACAUGAGGAAGGGUCUUCUAGAGGAAAUAACCAUGAUUUCACUCAUUUGUUCAUUCUUUUGAGCUAUAUUGAGGGAGUAUUUGGUACUGUCUUCAGCUCUGAGGAUAAGCAGUGACUGAGACCCAGAUGUCGCUGCCCUCCUGGAUUGGGAUGGGAAAGCAUGGUGCUGAUAAUCAUCAGUCUGCUGUGAGAAGAACUAUGUAUGGGUCCUUAGGCUUCUUUUAUUCGUUAAGUGAAGGGCAAGGACUUCCAGGGUUAAGCAUAUUGUACCUUUAACAUACACCACUUUGUGAAGCAGUCUACAGCACUGAAUCAAAACAUUGGUUGUAUGCUAUGGGCUACAUUGGGACAGCCCUCCCCCACCAAAAAAAAAAAUCACAUUGAAGUCCUAACCCCCACUACCUCAGAAUGUAAUGAAAUUUGGAAACUGGUUGUUAACAGAAGUAAUUAAAAUAAAAUAAGAUCAUUAGGGUGGACGUUAAUUGAAUAUGGCUGGUAUUAUAGUUUAUGUCUGGUAUAUCCCCCAAAGAUUCAUGUGGUAAAGGCUUGGUCCAUAGGUGGUGGUGCUAUUGAGAGAUGGUGGAAAUUUGGCGAUGUGGGCCCUAGGUGGAGAAGGUAGGUUACAGAAGCAUGCCCUAGAAGGGUAGGUAUCGUGUGCCAGACCCUUUCUGUCUCCCUCCUAUCUCUACCUCAUUUUUCAGAUUUCUGGCUGUCAUGAGGUGAGCACCUCUACUCCACUAUGGUUUCUCUGCUGUGAUUCUUUGCCUUAAUACAGAUCUGAAGCAACAAACCCAGGAGACUAUAGACUGAAAUGUUUGAAACAAUGAGCCAAAAUAAAUCUUUCCUCCUCAACAUUGUUUCUCUUGGGUAUUUUGUCAUGGUGAGAACAAAACUGAUUAACUGGUGUCUUUAUGGUAGAGGAAAUUUAGACAUAGAUUAAGUACAGAGAGUAGGCAAUGUGAAGACAAAGAGAAUAUGGUCAUUUGUAAGCCAAGGUUGAUUUUCAGAAGGAAGAACCUCUGCCUCACCUUGAUCUUGAACUUUCAGCCUCCAUAACUGUGAUAAAUAUAUUUCUGCUCUUCAAGCCCUCUAGUCUGGGAAGCUUUGUUAUGGCAGCCAUAGCAAACUAAUAGUCUAUAAUGAGGCUCACUCAGAAACUCUUAUUUUAUUUUUUAAAGAUAAAUAGGGCUGGUCCUAACUCCCCAAACUCAAUGAGAAACUGUAGACAUUAGAUUCCAGAUCAUAUAAAAAUUUCAAAAGUACUGUUUCAUCUGAUAGGACUGAUGUGAGAGACCUACUGGAAGCAUCAGUUUGCUCACCUUAUUGAUUUCCCUUCAUUGUUUUGUUCAUGUUAUUUCUGAUUAUACCUUAUGUCCCAUGCUGAGUGAAACACAGAAAUAAAGAGACAGCCUUCCCUGAGGUGGACUCUGUCACAAGUCCUUUGACAUGCAUACAUCACUCAAAAAAAUGCAUUGCUUGCUUAUAUAGGGAUAUUUUAAAACUUAAUGAUUAUUUACUACAAAUUCUAUGAACUCUUUUGAUGAAACAAACUAUAUUCUUCAAUAUAGCUCCAGCAACACCUGGCACUUUUUUUAAAUAUAAACUAGAUGCAUGUUAAUCCACCUGGCCAAUUAUUGAGAAGGCAACAGGUUCAAUCAGAGGCUCUGUGGGUGCCACUGCUCCUUCCUCCCAAUUUCUCUCUACUUUGCUUACUUCAAUUGUUUUGAUGGAUUCUUUGUCAGAACACCCCUGUAGUAUAAUUUUACAUUAAUGACCUCCUCAACUCCUGUGUGCUAUUUUCUGGUGGGAUAAUAUUGUUUUUGACUAAAACAUUAGUGAACCCCUAAUGGGAUUUACCAUUUCUACUGCCAUGUUCUUGGAGCAGACCCCUGAGGUUUAAGGUGGUGGAUUUACAGAGUUAAAAGGAGGUAGGGAGAGUUAUCUAGAAAUCACAGUUUUCUGGAAGCCUUAGGUUAUCUACAAGACACAAUAAAAAGAGCAGGGAGGGGAGGGGGAGGUAGUAGAAAGAUAGAAAGGAGAGGCUCAGUGGAAAUUUAGCCAAGAGCCCUUCUUAUUAUUGGCAUAAUUUGCAUUCAUAUCGAUGUCUUAAAGAGGGAAUGUGAUCACUACAGAUAAGAUUAAAUCAGAGCUUUCCAACAGGUGCACCACAAAGUACAGAUUCCCUUCAGCCCUUGAGGCAGUCUACCGACCUGGAAUAUCUGACUUGUUCCUCCAACAGGUGAAGCAUAUUCAGGGUUUCAAAUUCCCUCCAACUUAAGAGAUACAUAGAAAAACAUGAUGGAGGAAAAAAAAUAGGGACGGGAUUAAAUUACUUUCCAGAGCUUCUUUUAUUUUCAAUGCUUCCUCUCAAACUCUUCCAGUUGAAUCUCUACACAAUCUCCAGGCUAAUCUUGCAAAAUGCCUUCCCUCAGUUCAAAUCCUUACCAAACUGCUCAUUGUUCUUAGGAGAAAUUGCUUGAUAUGGUCAAAGCCCUCCCUGGUCUGCCUCUGUGAACGCUGCAGCAGGUUACCAUUCCCUGCCCAGUUCUCUGCUCUGACUCAGGUGACCUGAGUCCCCCAACAAGUCAUGCAGACACUCCAUUUAACAUGUGAUGCUGCUUCUCUCUGGACACACACACACACACACACACACACACACACACAUCUGGGUGACUCCUACUUGUAUGAUUAGGGGAAAGAUCAUAUCUAUUAUGUUCAUCAUUGUUUUCCUAAUGUGAGGUUUUGCAUAUAAUAGUAUUUUUUUGAUGACUGGGUAGAUAAAUGAAUGAGCUUCUUUCACACUGGAAAGUCAGUAGUUGCUCUAAGCCUUUUUUUGUUUUUUUUUUUUGUUAAUUCUACAUCUGUACUUGAAAUAAAAUCACUUUGUCCACACUGAAGCUCUUUAAAGCAGUUUUCUCCUCCCUGUUCACUUUGUAGACAGAUAUGACAACUAUAUCAGAGCUGUUACUAUAAAAGAAGCCUGACAAGUAAAUGGUGUGGAAGGAAUGACUGAUGUUUUCUUCAGUUUUCAAGAAAACUGGGACUGGAGAGAGAGGAAAAGAAUCAGAGGGAGUCAGCAAGAAAGAAAGGACUACAAAGAAAACCUCUCUGGACUCUAAUUUCAGCUACCAUUCUCUGUAAGUUGAAUUUAUGAUGAUUUUGGUCUUCUACGUUGACCUUAGCCACAAUUCUGGGAGCACAAGGAAAUAGCCUUUCAGCUGCCUGUUAUAAUCUGAACAGGGGCAGGUUUAAAUUCUUCAAAAUGUAAAAGCUUCAGGGGUUAUUGUAGCCAAAGGAAAGUUGUUAGGGAAAAGUGUUAGGAGAUUCUAUGAGAAAAAUUCAUUAAUUAAAUGACCCUUUCUGGCAACAACAUGAAGUAAGACCCCAGGUGUACUUCAGAAUUGUGCUCCAAACCUAGUCUCCUGUUGGUCAUGGAGGCCUGGAAUGUAUGCACAGGAGACUGGAAUCCAAUAAGACUGGAGUGGGGAAGGAGCAAAGAAGAGGAGGCAGAUGUGAGCAAUGCAAUGACAAUCAAGGUCAAGGCUCACUGAAAUGGGACUACGGGUUGGGGGAUGUAUAUUCGAUUUCCUUGGAAACAGAAUACAUGGAGUCUUAAUCAUGAGUCUUAGUAACCAAACAUGUCAUAAAAUGAAGUAAAGUGACUAUUUAAAGAUUCUAGAUAGGGAAGAGGGGAGGGAGGGAAAGGGAGGAGGCAGGGGAUUAGCAAGGAUUGUGGAAUGGGAUGGACAUCAUUAUCCAAAGUACAUAUAUGAAGAUAUGAAUUGGGUGUCAACCUACUUUAUAUCAAACAGAGAUAUGAAAAAUUUUGGUAUAUAUGUGUAAUAAGAAUUGUAAUGCAAAAAAGUAUAUGUAUAAAGACAUGAACUGGCGUGAACAUACUUUAUAAGAUAUGAAAAAUUGUGCUCUCUAGGUAUAAUAAGAAUUGUAUUGCAUUCCAGUGUCAUGUAUUUAAAAAAAA
rnacentral:lncRNA from 1 species